UGCUAGAUGGGGAGUUAGCGGUGCCCUGUAACCUGCAAUCCGCUAUAGCAGGAUUGAAUUCCUCGCUUAGGUAUUAGCGAUUUAUAGUCUGACUUUUGUAAGUGGUGUUGAUGACUGGGUCCCACGCAAUGGAAGCCCAUGAACCUCGUCAGAUCUGGAAGGAAGCAGCGAUAAGUGGUUCCUUCCAUGUGCCGUGGAUCAAUCUGGUCUGAGCUAACUGCAUUAGUAACGU
rnacentral:SRP_RNA from 25 species